rnacentral:lncRNA from 1 species
GCGGGAAGUAUCAAGUUCGCAGUCACGUCCGGUCAGAAGGGGGACGUUAAAUCUGAUGCCUCGUCUAAAGAGAGUGCCACGCUCUUUGCACGUUGAGAACCCUUGCAACAACUCUUUGAGGGGUCUGUAGGUUGCCUGCUGCAAGGCAAAAUUUCUGUCAUUAUCCAAUAUACCCCCAUGUUCAAGUGGCAGUUCAAAUUUAC